GUUGGCUUAGAAGCAGCCAUCAUUUAAAGAAAGCGUAAUAGCUCACUGGUCGAGUCGGCCUGCGCGGAAGAUGUAACGGGGCUAAACCAUGCACCGAAGCUGCGGCAGCGACACUCAGGUGUUGUUGGGUAGGGGAGCGUUCUGUAAGCCUGUGAAGGUGGCCUGUGAGGGUUGCUGGAGGUAUCAGAAGUGCGAAUGCUGACAUAAGUAACGAUAAAGCGGGUGAAAAGCCCG
rnacentral:rRNA from 2 species